rnacentral:lncRNA from 1 species
AUGAGUUUUAAACCUCACGAGUGCUGGGCUCUGCCUUGGGAGCCCUGGUGGGGCCGGGAGCAAGGCAACCCCAGGGACCCUUGCCUCUGGUGUCAGCAGAGCGGUGCUGGCGUCUCGGUGCCGUCUAUAUGGGAAAUGUUGGUUUCCAUAGGAACGGCCUGUGGCAGCGCUGGCUUUUGGGGGAGGUGGCAUCUGGAUGGUGGCAGGAGCCUGGCGUGGCUGCGCCUCGCUAACUCAGUCUCCCUCCCUCUGCAAACAUUGGAUUUAAACCUGCUCAGAAUUCAGCACAGACGAAAGCGGCAGCAGCGGCGGCGGCGGCAGCAGCAGCAAGCAGCAAGCAAAUCAGCCGCUAGCCUAGUGCAGCUCCAAGAUGUACCAUCCUGCCUGCUGGAUCGUCUUCACCGCCACAACUGCCCUGCUCUUCAUCCCAGCGGGCUGAUGCUGCAGGGGAAGGGCGUGAAGGUGUGCGAGCUUCAUUCACAGUUCACCGCUUUGAGGAGUUGA